GCGGAAGUAGCUCAGUUGAUAGAGCAUUAGCCUUCCAAGCUGAGGGUCGCGGGUUUGAGUCCCGUCUUCCGCUCCG
rnacentral:tRNA from 1 species